UUUUCUACCCUAUUUUUUUCAUAAACCCUAAAUUGUCAUACACUCCUCUCUCUCUCACGCACUCACACCACAUAGUCACAAACUCCUCUUUCACUCACACAAUCUCAGGCUCCAUUCUCCUCUCCCCGUCACAGUCCUCUCUUCCUCCGUUCGUCGAAGCCUCACACUGUCUAGCAGUCGCGUGUGCUCCGUUGCAGUUCGUCAGCCUCCAGCCGUUCUCAGGACGUGGUGCUUUUCCGUUCUCAGUGCCUUGGUGUUUGUCAGCUAUCCAAUCUUGCAACGUCCAGCCUUUCCGCCACCGUCCAGUUUCUUCGCCUUUGUCGCUACAUCUUCCAGUCUCUUUGGGUUUUUGAUUUUUUCUUAAUUCUGUUUUUAAAUUCUUUUUAUUUGUCAGAAUUUGUUGUUAUGAUUCUAAUUUUUAAAUCCUGUUUUAAAAAUUUUCAAGUCUUAGGGUUUUUUACUUCUUUAAUUCUGUUUAUUUGUCGCAAUUUGUUGUCAUAAUUCUGCUCCUAAUCUGAUUAUUUAUUACUUGCUGAUUUUUGUUAGGAUUAUUUGUUGAUUUUUUUAUUUUGCAGAGUUCAUCAAACAAACAAAAAUCGAACCCUGGAUCCAACGCACUUGCUUCAUUAAGAGUCAGUUUAUUUUAGGCUUUUGAUAGUUCUUUAUCUGCCGCUGUUGCUGUUGCCGCCUCUUGUAUUUUUCCUCUACUAUGGUGCUGCUAAUAUGCUGCUGCAGUACUAAUCUUCUGCUGUGGUAGUAUUGCUUUAUUGCUGAGUCUCAUCAAAUGGACACGUUAUAGGCGAGUCAAUCUUUCAUAUGCAUUAUUGCAAGCUUUAGUUUCACAAUCCCCUGUCAUAUUUCAGUAUGGAACUGGAAUACUCUUGAUGCUGUUGUGAUUCAGAGAAAGUCUCAAAGUAUGUGUCAUAUCUUUUUGCAAAUCUCAUAGAAGCUUCUUAGCAGAGACCGCUGUCGAUUUAAUGUGUCUAAUCUGUUUCUGCACCACUCUUCUUGUUUUCAAGUUUGUAGGAUGCUAGAAAAAGUAUGUAAGGAUCCACAGAUGCUUGUUGACAUUUUUGUGAAUUAUAACUGUGAUCUUGAUGCACCAAACUUGCUUGAAAGAACGGUUACAACUUUAUCAAAAAUAGCUUAGGGUACUCAAAAUGAUGAUCCAAAUGCUGUUGCUAUUUCUCAAACAGCUUCAAUUAAAGGUUCAUCGCUUCAGGCUAGGUACUUGUGGUAUGAAACUAUGAAUACAUUUACAAGCUGGACAAGGUCAAUUAAUAUUAUAACAAGAUGCACCCCUACACUUCAUGGAUACCAAUUACUGUCUCUAAUGUCUGUAAACUUGUGAGGGCAAAAAAUGGAAGCAUGUUACAUGCCUUGGCUAUGGUUCGAGUUCAAGCAAGAGUAAGGGCUCGCAGAAAUCCAGUUAAGUCAUGAGAAGAAGCAACAUGAAGCUACAAUGAAGAGGGAGAGAUUGAUAUUUUUUAUCCCAAUGCAUUUUAUAACUACUUUGGUUAUAAGAGAUUGAUAUGGCUAACUCGUUUUGAUUUCUACUAAUAUAAUACUAGUUUUUAUUGAUUCUUUUUUUU